AAAAGGAAAAUGGAUGAAAACACGGGAAAGAGGCCCAAAUUAAAAACAACUAUCUCUUUCUCUUUACUCUCGGUUUGCUCAGAUUGAAGAAUCAGAAAAGCUCCAUCUGAAUCUCAUAUCCUCUUCCUCGAGUUCCAACUUAAUACAAUCUUCAAAUCUAGUUAUGUCUUUCUUGCUUUCCAGGUGGUAUUCCAAGCACGUUUUCUUGUUUUAUCCCUCCUUUUUCCUUCAAUUUACAGGUCUGUUACCCUUCCCCAAUUCUUUGUUUGAUCGGCGCUAAUCACCAGGGAAGGAAUGGAACCAUCAAGUAUUGGGAUGUUGGAGAAGGCGGGUUGUCCAGGUACUUAUCUAUCUCUAUAAUGCCGUUGUCCAUCUCAGGUUGGGAUGUGAGUUGUGUUGUUUCAGUACAAUUAAUAUAUUGCCUGCUUAGAACCUGACUUUUGACGAUGACUAAUAGAAAUAGUUAAUGGCUUCCUUCCUAUGUACACUGAGCUCUAGGUGCAAUGUACUUAAUGAAAAAAGAUUUUGUUUA